rnacentral:lncRNA from 1 species
AAAUUCUCAGCUUCGAUAUGCAUUUCCAAGAAGUUGGCAAGAAGGAGAGCGAACAGACCUCGACUCGGUGAAGGUUGAUGAAGCUUAGACUUCUUCUGGUUGUGAUUCGUCCUCGAUUUUCCGCGAACGAACACAAAAACCAUAUACAUCAACAUGAACAGGUGGAUUUUUCAUGCUACCAUUUAUGUUUUUUCUUUUUUUCGAUGGAAGUCUGUGUUUCGCAUAGUGGUUACAAGUAAAACAUCAUCUCGAUGGAAUCUCUCCCAACAAAUCAUAUAGGUCCAAGUCUUUCUUGCCAAAUCUGUGUUUUUCCUUGAAGAAAGAACGAUUUGGUGUUCUAGAGAAUCGAGGAGGAUUAAUGUACACAACUACCUGUAUUACAAAGCUCUGAGAUGCUGUAUUCUCGUCUCUUACACGUCCGACAGCAUAGCUGAUACAAGUCGCCAUGGAAAUUUGGAGCACCAAAGACUGGAUCGCAGUUUGGAAGUCAUGCCCUCAGUAGCGCAUCUGUUAUGCAGCUCCGAAAUCAACGGCGACUCUUCUGUGUGCCUUCCAAGGCUUCGUCUUCGUCAGCUCCUCAUGUGCCAUCCCAGAAGUCGAGCCAAUCUCAGGGAAGUAAAAGCAAACUUCGUCAACCGUGUUCAUCUCGAUCCGUGAGACUUACGUCGAUGGCAGGCUCUGCAUGAUUGGCUUUUCUUCUGAUAUGUUUGUGUGAUUCACAUAAGCAGUAUUAACCCCCCCACACUCCUUGUUUACUGUCAAACUCGAUUUAAGUAUGUUUAGGUCGUGAGAUAAGUCGAUCCUUUUGGUGAAACAACGGGAACAAUUCAUCCGUUCGACCAGUUGGGUUUGACAGCAGCAUAAGAGGACAAAAAGAUCAAAUUCGAGUGAAA